UACGGAGGAUGCGAGCGUUAUCCGGACUUAUUGGGUUUAAAGGGUGCGUAGGCGGGAUGCCAAGUCGGCGGUAAAAAUGCGGUGCUCAACGCCGUCGAGCCGUUGAAACUGGCGUUCUUGAGUGGGCGAGAAGUAUGCGGAAUGCGUGGUGUAGCGGUGAAAUGCAUAGAUAUCACGCAGAACUCCGAUUGCGAAGGCAGCAUACCGGCGCCCUACUGACGCUGAGGCACGAAAGCGUGGGUAUCGAACAGG
rnacentral:rRNA from 1 species